UACGUAGGGGGCGAGCGUUGUCCGGAUUCAUUGGGCGUAAAGCGCUUUAAGGCGGUUCGGUAAGUCGGGUGUGAAACCUCCAGGCUCAACCUGGAGACGCCACUCGAUACUGCUGUGACUAGAGUUCGGUAGGGGAUCACGGAAUUCCUGGUGUAGCGGUGAAAUGCGCAGAUAUCAGGAGGAACACCAGUGGCGAAGGCGCCGCUCUGGGCCGAGACUGACGCUGAGGAGCGAAAGCGUGGGUAGCAAACAGG
rnacentral:rRNA from 1 species